rnacentral:lncRNA from 1 species
UUUAACCCAAUCAUUUCAAAAGUUAAAGUUUCAAAUGUUGUUAACAAAAGACUCCUAGAAUAUCGACAACAAUUCAAAGUUCUUCUUAAGUAAGGUCUAGAUCUUCACUAUCUUCAUCUUCCCUUUCUUCAGUUGCUCUACCUACAAAAGAGAAUAAAUAAAGUCAUUACCCUUCAAAGGUUGGUUACCAUUAUAAGAAUGGGUAUAGUCCAUGAGCAAUACAUAAAGCACAAAGUUUUCAGGAGAAAGAAACAAGUUCACACAAAUGAAGAAGCCAAAGUUUAAUAACAAAUCUAAAUCAUCAAAACCAAACUUAUAAGCAUAUGCAUUCAGGCAAAUUGAGAUCAAGUUGUCUGCUUUUCUCAUUUUGAACCAACUCAAACAUAAAACAUAAGCAAAUGAACAAUUUAACAGUUUCGGUAGCCAACCAAACUAAUAGUUUUCUACUUUUUUUUUCAAGUAACAAUCUGAACUGGAUACAUUCCUAUGGAUCCAUAGAAAUGGCAUUUAGGUUUUCCAUGUCCUAUGGAUUCAUAGAAACACAGAAUGUUGCUCCCUGGAUACCUAAUUUUUUACCAUUGGUUAUGUCCUUUUUGCCUCUUGAAUUCAUUUGUGUAUUUUCCACUUUUCCUCUCCUCUGCACAGCUGAGGCACUUGCCAGUUUAUUUUGAGUUAAUAACAUAUUCGUGUGCAGGCCAGGCCAUCUUUGAAGACAGAAAGAGAGAAGAAGAAAGAAAUGUCUUUGUCAGUUUACAAAAACCUAGAGUUUACCUUCACAAACCCCACCAGUAAUCAAAACUAUCUUUUGCAACUUCAUGGGAUACUGGUACAAACAGGUUAAAAUUAUAUGCUUCAACAAACUGAUAAUAAUUGCUCUACAUACAACAACAAAGAAUUACCUAAUAACAAUCUCAAGAUUAUAUUACUCCAAUCUCCUACUAGUCAAUUCUUUACAACUCCAAAUAAUCAAGGCGAACACUUUUAAGAUAUUCAAGAUGCUAGAGCGCUGGAACCUACUGCAGAACAGAUAAUUGUUAUUUAAUUACUGUAAUUGCUUUUAUCAAUUUUCUACUACAUCCUAUUCAAAAAUUCCAACUUCUUCAGAAUAUCUCACUGAUUAGAGCUACGCACAUUCAUUAUAUAGAGCUUUAUUUCACAUAUAUUAAAUGGGAUAAAAUUUAGAAUAGAAUUUAUAAGCUCUAUUUAAAUUAAUGAACUUAAGCAAUAUGUCCAAAAAAUUUGGAACUAACCUCUGCAAGAAGUAAUAUAAUCUUAGCUUGUACAGGUACUUAUGAUUGAAGCGUUCUCUGUAUAUCAUUAAAUUGAGAAAAUUUGGUAAAACACUAAAGAUUACGAGAGGUAUUAAUGUUAAUGAUUACAGAAAUUUCAUUUAGUGUUUGAUUUGAGAUUGAAAAACUAGACAAAUAGCAGUACAACCACCAAAAUAUGAGUUUUUCGUCAUUUCCUACUGUUAUGAAAACGUGUCAAUGCUAUAAGAUCUAGGCCUUAAUUCAUUUAUAUUAAAAUGAUGCACAGCACAAUAAAACUUUAUAAGACAAUAUACACAAUAGAAUAAAAAUUUGUAAGACCAUAAGUUCAAUUAUCCAAAAUUUAAAUUAAAGACUACUUACCAGCAACGACUUUUUUCUUAGCUACCAACAAUAAUUUCUCCUAAGCUACCAACAACGAUUUCUUCCUACACUAGCAGUAAAUGAAGAAUCAAAUCAAGUAAAAGAAGAUUCAAAACAAUAUCAUCUAAGAAACUAUAACAUAUGACAACAACAACAACAACAACACACCCGGUAUA